UAUUAGGCAGAUUGACUGAGAAUGACUAACAGCAUUUCCCAUUAGUGGAGGGAAAAAGAAAAAAUUAAGAGGGCACACAAAGCACGAGAAAGGAAGGAAGAGUGGUUCUGUGAUCGCUUUACUGGAGUUGGUUCACAGACAAAGAAAACCCAAGAGCCAGAUAAUUUUCAAGAAAUUUGGACACCGAGACCACCAGGAGAAGAAGGAAAAUGAGGAUCUGUGUUUAACAGUGGUAGAAAUGCACCCAUAUGGGUUCUGGCUCUCAUAUCUCACCAAUGCUCAAUUUCUGA